AAGGGUACAGCUCAGUGGUAUAGCUCAUGCUUAGCAAGCACAAGGCCCUGGGUUCAAUCCCUAGUACCUCUG
rnacentral:tRNA from 1 species